AUAACUUAUUAAUUAAAUUAUUUCAAGGGAAAUCUGAAUGUAUGGUUCUUAUUGGUCCAACCUAAUUGCAUGUCUCCCCAUUGGUUGAAAAGCACCCAUCGUUUCUUAUUAUCUCCUCCUACACUCGUGCGCACACUUGGGGAAGAUAAAAGUUUAAUAUUUGUUCCUUCUUGGCUGAACAUUGGGUUGAUUGUGAGUAGUCUAUCACCCUAUUUCCUUCCAUGUGUAUGGUAAGUGAACCCCAGCUAAAACUCAGCCUAAUCACCCUUCUCACAAACCGUGAGUUUCAUAGGUUAGAGAGACUUUCAAGCAUUCCCCCCUUCUCUGCUCACUGCCGGCCGUGUACACAAGCAAAGAAAUUGUGCUGUUUUAUUACUCCAUUGUUUUCCAUGAUUCCCUUCGCCCUGUUGGAGGUUCUGCUGCAUGCAGAUUGUCAUUUAAAUUCCCACCUUCCAUCCUCCCCAAAUUGUGCACACCGUCAUCCUCAAGAGGAAGAAGUCCUGGUUGGGUCCCCUCUUCUAUGGCACGCCACUGAAACCGAUUCCUUGGAGCUUUAGAGGGAGAAAUUGGGCAGUUUGGAUCACGGCUCCCCAUGGCCGAAUUAUACAACUCGAACCCCUUGAAAACAGUCGUGCACAAGCUCUUAGAUAAUUGGACUGUCGAUGAUGUUUGGAAUGCUUGAUUUAAAAGUAAAGUGCCAAGGAGGAGGACGUAAAAGCUUUUGAGCACUUGGAUAUUUGCUGUUGGUUUCUACUAUUGGGCAUGCUGCUGUGAUUGUAUUAUUUUCAUGGAUGACUGUACUAAUUGUGGAUGUUUAAAUUAUUAGUGAACUCUGUUUGCAUUCUGUUUUAAAACUUUUAAGAACAACAAGUGUUCUGAAACGGAUUUCAGAACCGUUAUUACGAAAACUGAUUCAUGAAGUUUUGAAAGCUAAGUUAAUCCUACGAAGGGUAAUGGAGUUGCUUAGGACUAGAGUGUCUAAAAGAUUAGCUGACGUUUGGAUAUAUGUAUUGAUGGGACAACAUUUCAUUCCUAUCUACCUUGAUUUUUAUUGCGAAACGAAGGUCGUUCCACCCCUUUUCAGUAUGUUUAGGUAUAAAUAUUAGUACAAAUGUAAAAAGGAUAAUCUGCAUUAAGGAAUGACUGCCAAUAUGGAAAAAGGAGAAGAGGAAGACAAGAGUGAGAUGUCCUUUAUUUUAACUUUUGUUCAUCGUUGCUUUUUCUUUUGAAGUCAACUCUGAAAAAAGCACACCAAGGCGCACACAGCAGAAUAGAGAACGCACACAAAAAGGACAGAAUGCGCGGAACAAAAGGACACUACUACAUAUUGUAGCACGGAAAAAUAUGCAGAGCACAUUCGAAUGUCAGAGAAUCAUCUUUGUUAAAGAAAAAGCAAAAGAGAUAGCUCAGCCCUAAUCACUUUCCUCCGUUUGAUCAAGAAAUCACUUGCCACUGUCUUCCCCCCGCCUAUAAAUAGAAGAUCAAAUAAAGGUAAUAGUAGCAAGUUUCUGGGGGAUUACACUUUAUUCUUUUUUUUUUUUCCUUUUUAAGUAGAUAUCCCUCCUCUCCACUUUAGUUUUUGUCUUGUGUUAUUGAGUCUUAUUUUCUCUGUUAUUUUUGAGUCUAUAAGUACUUUUCUACCUAUUCAUCUUCACCAAUUUGUAUCUCAGGUCUAUUGGAUUUCAAGUUGUUAAGACUAUGUUUGUAUCUUCAUCCAUGUCGUUAAACACGAGCUAACAUCUUUUGGAAUAGAAAAAUUAUGAA